UAGUCAUUGAAAAUAGAAACACGAUUAUUGCGUCCAACGAAAAAAAUGAAUCGCUGUUUCUAUGGUUGGAGAGUGGAAGUGAAAACGGACUCGAGGCACGCCAAUAUAUGUUCUUUACAACCAACGAAUUCUGUUGCCGGAUUUCAUUUGUUCAUGUUGGUUUGAAUUGGUGGAAAGGACCGGUAUGGUUGAAAUUACUUCGUGUACAUUGGCUAGGAUAACAAGACUAAAA